CAUCAGAUGGCUGAAAGUAAAGCAUUGGUCUCUUAAACCAUUUUAUAGUAAAUAACAACUACUUCUGAUGG
rnacentral:tRNA from 1 species